rnacentral:rRNA from 1 species
UCCUACGGGAGCAGCAGUGAGGAAUUUUGCGCAAUGGGGGCAACCCUGCACGCAGCAACGCCGCGUGAGUGAUGGAAGGCUUUCGGGUCGUAAAGCUCUGUCAAGUGGGAAGAACCUGUUUCGUGCCAAUACCACGAAACACUGACGGUACCACUGAAGGAAGCACCGGCUAACUCCGUGCCAGCAGCCGCGGUAAUACAGAGGGUGCAAGCGUUAUUCGGAAUCAUUGGGCGUAAAGGGCGCGUACGCGGUUUUUUAAGUCAGAUGUGAAAGCCCGGGGCUUAACCCCGGAAGUGCAUUUGAAACUGAAACACUUGAGUAUGGGAGAGGGAAGUGGAAUUCCUGGUGUAGAGGUGAAAUUCGUAGAUAUCAAGAGGAACACCGGUGGCGAACGCGACUUCCUGGACCAAUACUGACUCUGACGCGCGAACGCGUGGGGAGCAAACAGGAUUAGAUACCCUGGUAGUCCACGCAGUACACGGUGAUCACUAGGUGUAGCGGGUAUUGACCCCUGCUGUGCCGCAGUUACGCAUUAAGUGAUCCGCCUGGGGACUACGAUCGCGAGGUUAACACUCAGAGGAAUUGACGGGGGCCCGCACAAGCGGUGGAGCAUGUGGUUUAAUUCGACGCAACGCGAAGAACCUUACCUGGACUUGACAUCUGA